AGUAGUUUGAUCCUGGCUCAGGACAACGCUGGCGGCGUGCCUAACACAUGCAAGUCGAACGGGGUUAAAGCGAAAUUUUCGGAUGGAACUUUAACUUAGUGGCGGACGGGUGAGUAACGCGUGGAUAACCUGCCUCGCACAGGGGGAUAGCAGCUGGAAACGGCUGGUAAUACCGCAUAAGACCACGGUCCCGCAUGGGACAGAGGUAAAAGAUUUAUCGGUGCGAGAUGGAUCCGCGUCUGAUUAGCCAGUUGGCGGGGUAACGGCCCACCAAAGCGACGACCAGUAGCCGGCCUGAGAGGGUGAACGGCCACAUUGGGACUGAGACACGGCCCAAACUCC
rnacentral:rRNA from 1 species